CGGAGUGUCCUUUACUCUACUUCAGCAGAUAACCUUGAUCACUCUUAUACUCCUAAGGAACCGGGAUUGGUCUACCAUCACCCUACCACCUCGACCUUGUAUUCUGAAAUUAUCCAGUACACUAAAUGAUG